GUCUCUGUAGUCAGGUGGUUAACGCAUUGGCGUUCAAAGUCAGUUACCAGGGUUCGAUUCCCAGCAGAGACA
rnacentral:tRNA from 1 species